rnacentral:rRNA from 1 species
UUGGAGGNAUGUAUAGCGAAAGCUACUUGCAUUUAGCUUAGUUAAAGCUAAGUUUAUGCAGGAUUGACUAUGUCGAAUAAAGUUCUAGGUGGGUUAUGAUGAUGACAUUUCCUAUCUAUGUGUCUUGACCAAAUUACGUGCCAGCAGUCGCGGUAACACGUAAAAGACUAGUGUUAUUCAUCUUUAAUAGGUUUAAAGGGUACCUAGACGGUAAAUCAAGUCCAAGAAGGGUACUAAUUUGCUAGAGUUUAAUGUGAGGGGGCACUAAAGUACUGAUAAGUGUAGAGAUGAAAUUCUGUGAUACAAUAUAUGGCACUGGCAAAGGCGAAAGCAUCUCAUUAUGUAAUAACUGACGUUGAGGGACGAAGGCUAGGUGUAGCAAAAAGGAUUAGAUACCCAAGUAGUCUUAGCAGAAAAUUAUGAAUGUCAUAGGAUGGAAAGUUGGAUGGAUAAACAACAAAACUUUUUCUAUAAAUGAAAGUGUAAGCAUUCCACCUCGAGAGUAAUUUGGCAACAUUGGAACUGAAAUCAUUAGACCGUUUCUGAAACAAGUAGUGAAGUAUGUUGUUUAAUUUGAUGGUCCGCAAAAAACCUUACCACAAUUUGAAUAGAAAUUUUUGUUUCAUACAAGCGCUGCACGGUUGUCUUCAGUUAAUGUCGUGAGAUCUUGGUUAGUUCCAUUAAAUUAACGUAAACCCUUACUUUAUUUUUAUAUAGAGUAGUUCACCGCUAGAUUGGAUGUGAUAA